GUGUACGGCCAUACCACCUUGAACGUGCCCAGUCUCGUCUGAUCUCGGAAACUAAGCAGGGUCAGGCCUGGUUAGUACUUGGAUGGGAGAAGCCAUGACAUGGUUUAAG
rnacentral:rRNA from 1 species